CCAGGGUGAACGGCGCGCCGCCCGCGCCCGCCGCUGUGACUGUUUGGGGCGGAGCCACUUUGGAUCCGCAGCGGCUGCCGGGUCUGUGCCCACCCCUGCACGGCGGGUGUAGGGGCUAGCCCACCAGGAGAACACACAGACGGGGACCUUUGCCAGAUUCCUGUGCAGUCUCCCCUAGGGACCAGCUAGGUUGCAGCAGUCUCCUCAGCGGCCGCGCAGGUGGCUGGAGGACAGGGCGCUGGGCUUUCCUGAGCGCCAGGGUGAGUCUUGCUGUGGUGGGGCCGAGAGCCAGGAUGUUUGCCCCUCAGCCUAGCGGAGACCAGUUCCCCGCCUGCCCCUCUCCCCACUCCCCAAGCUUUACCCAGGGCUAGGACUCCUGGCUCCCACCUUCCACAAAAGGGUGCACAGUACUCUCGUCAUCUCGGUGGGGUCUCCCAUACCUUAGAGAGCAGGACUGCGGGUCAGGUCUCAGGAGAGAGGACACUGGCUGGGCUCCCCAUGCAGCUGGCCCUAACUCCAGAGCCUAGCUUGGCUAGGAGGUUCUUAAUAGCACUCCUUGUGACAGGUCCUGUAAAGCCUAAGAGUGCAGUGUGGACAGGGACACAUUCUGUCCCUGGCGCAGGUUCCCACAGGCUCCUCCCUGCUGGCAGGUGUAAGGGUCACCCAGGAUCCUGGAAAAAUGGCUGGAAGUAGUUGGGUGCAGCCCCACUGUUCAAACCUGAUUCUCAGCAUGGCAUGCUGGGGUGCACCUGUACCUUCAGCUACUCUGGAGGCGAAGACAGGAGGAUCACUUAAAUCCAAGAACUGGAGGUCAGUUUGGGCAACAUAGUGAGACCUCAUCUCAAAAACAAAACAAGACCUGGCUCUAGGGCCAAUCAAGUCAGCUGAAUCAAACUUUGUCACUGCCCCCCUGGGUGGUUUAGGAGUUAGGAUCAGUAGUCAGGGUGGGUUGGGGAGCACAGGAAACCACAGUUGGAGAAAAGACAUCUCAUAGUUGAGCGGCCUUGGCCAGCUGGCCCUGCUCUUUCUCUGGGCACUGCAUAGGGUCUGCAACAGCCCUAGCCCUAGCCUCAGGAGGAGGGGAGACACAGCCAGCAGACCUGUUCCAGCCCCAGGCUGGGGUGGCAUCCGUCUUUGGAACCUGGGUUUGGAGGUGCAAGCUCAUUUGUCAAGGCCUGGGUGUGGGUGGGGCGCCUCUAUCUCCCCUGCCCCCCUGUGUCCCUCAGGGAGAUCUGGGGGUGCAUGGCCACAAGGAGAAGACCACAGCCUGGUGCUGGCGGAGGUGGGUUUUGUCAGGACUUCAGGUGUCCCUGAACCAAACUUUGUCACUGCCCCCCUGGGGUGUUUAGGAGUUAGGAUCAGUAGUCCUCAGGCUGCGUCUGCCCUCAGGCUGUCUUGCCUUCACUUCAUGCAGCCGGUGUCCGGUUGGCUCACCGACAUGCGUUCACAGCAACCCUGGCCCCAACACAUAUCGCCCUGUGUUCUGGUACCUCACGCGUCAGAGUACUCGCUUCAUGUUGGGUGCUUAGACCAGAGCAGGCCUGGGUUGGGCCGCAUCUUCCCAGAGCUGAAGAGUCAGCCCUGUGGCUGCUCUGACCACCAAGUGGCCUCUGAUGUGUCCUCCAUGAACAGACUGUGGGAGUGGCCUUCCUGCGUGUGCCUACCACAUACCUAGAUGGCACACCUUCCUCUGGCGCUCUCUCCAGGGAUGUCGGACUUCUUCAGAGCAGGCCAGGCUGCCCCAUCUGGCCCUGGCUUUGGUGGCACUCCUGUCUUCCAACAGCUGGCUUCUCAAUUUUUACUCUUCCCUGAAUGUUCCCUCCUCUGUCCCCCUCCAUCACUCCUCCUGCCAGACCCUCCCUUCUGCAUGACAUUUGCCUGGGGUCCCUGCCCACCCUGCCCAGGGCCUGCCUGCCCUGAACUCCCUCCUCCUCAAGGCACUCAGGGACCCAGCCUUGGACACUUGUUCUGAACCUGGCUCCGUGCUGCACCAGGCCCUUGUCACAUUCAGCUGCUGUUGGGAUUUGUCCUGUUCUUCUGACCUGUCUCUCUACCAGACGAUGGCUCACUCCUGUGCUGGGGCAUGCAGUUGGCUCAGCUUGACAAGGCAGUGACCUAGAGCUCAUGCAUGCUCCCUUUACAGGGUGGAGGAGUGCUGGGGCAGCCGGAGCAGAGGUGGAGCCCACCCUCCCAGGUGCCAGGCGCUUCCUGCAGUUGCUGCUGAGGGGAAGCUGGCCGUUGCCUUGCCAGCCCCUGACGCCUGAGCACCAGCUUCUGGCAGCAGCUGCUGCAGUCCCUCCACUUGGGGGGGACCCAUCCACCUGACAGAAGUCACACAACUGUGAGGGCACCUGUGAAGUUCAUAUUACCAGCACACGCCCCGUGUGCCACCUUGCUGAGCUCCUGGCCCGUGUCCCUGUUGCCUUCCCCACAGGAGGUCUGUGUGUGCCUGGGUGUGGACGUGAGAUCAGCACAGAGGGACAGGCUCACCAGCUCAACUGCCCCUUGCAACAUGUGGGGCAGGGAAACUGCCCAAGGGAACUCCCGACACCUGUGACUUCUGACACUGGGCUCCCCACCCGGCACCCUUGGUGAGAAACAGCUCUGGGAAACUGCAUAGAGCCCAGUGGAGAAGGGACAGUCCACCUCCAGCUGACUGGCCAGGAGGCCACACCCCCAGGCUACCCCAGCACCACCUUCUUGAGGGCUGCAGAGCUCUCCACAUGCAUGCGGGCCCCGAGGCCCUGCGUUCCCUCCGGCAGUGUCUUGGCUACUCUUGGUCCUUUAGGUCACAAACACAUUCUAAACCAGUUUGCUGUGUACCUAGGGAUCUGACUGGAUGACAACAGCGCUGCUCUUGCACAGGUCUUUGUAAGGCUCUGAGCAUGACCACAAGCUCCUCUCCACUGCCCGAGCCUCCUCUAUCCCCUGGAUGAUGCCCUGCAGUUGUCUGUGAAGGGACCUUGUGCAUUUUCUAUUACAGUUGUCGUGGAUCUUUGAA